rnacentral:misc_RNA from 1 species
GAUGAAGAACGUAGCGAAAUGCGAUACUUGGUGUGAAUUGCAGAAUCCCGUGAACCAUCGAGUUUUUGAACGCAAGUUGCGCCCGAAGCCGUCAGGCCGAGGGCACGCCUGCCUGGGCGUCACACGCCGUUGCCCCCCCCGCGCCCCGCACCCAACUCUUUGGGAGCGACCGCGGGGCGGGCUGAUGAUGGCCUCCCGUGCGCUCCGCCGCGCGGUUGGCCCAAAUACCGAGUCCCCGGCGACGUGCGCCACGACGAUCGGUGGUUGAGAGACCUCUGUCGCAAGUCGUGCGCGCCCGUCGCGUCACGCGGGCUCGCAUAGCGCCUCGCGCCGCACCCGGUGCGGAGCUUUCAACGCGACCCCAGGUCAGGCGGGGUUACCCGCUGAAUUUAAGCAUAUCAAUAAGCGGAGGA